AUACUGCAGUCGACGAAGUGCACUUGUGUACUUAGUGGCGAACGGGUGAGUAACACGUAUCUAAUCUACCCAAUAGCGGGGGAUAACAGUUGGAAACGACUGCUAAUACCGCAUAUGAUUUAUUAAGAUAACUUUAUAAAUUGAAAGGCGCUCUCAAGCGCCACUACUGGAUGAGGAUGCGCCGUAUUAGCUAGUUGGUAGGGUAAAAGCCUACCAAGGCAAUUAUACGUAGCCGACCUGAGAGGGUGAACGGCCACAUUGGGACUGAGACACGGCCCAAACUCCUACGGGAGGCAGCAGUAGGGAAUUUUCCACAAUGGACGAAAGUCUGAUGGAGCAAUGCCGCGUAAUUGAUGAAGGUUUUAGGAUUGUAAAGAUUUGUUGUUAGGAAAGAAAAAAUGUAAUGGGAAAUAAUUACAUUCUGACGGUACCUAACCAGAAAGCCAUGGCUAACUAUGUGCCAGCAGCCGCGGUAAUACAUAGAUGGCAAGCGUUAUCCGGAUUUAUUGGGCGUAAAGCAUGCGCAGACGGUUUAGUAAGUUUAAGGUUUAAGCCUGGAGCUCAACUCCAGCCCGCCUUAAAAACUACUUGACUAGAAUGUAGGAGAGGUUAACGGAAUUCCAUAUGUAGCGGUGGAAUGCGUAGAUAUAUGGAGGAACACCAGUAGCGAANGCGGUUAACCAGCCUAUUAUUGACGUUUAGGCA
rnacentral:rRNA from 1 species